AUUCUUCCUCCUUUGUCAUUUUCUUCCUUAGGCCGCUGUCACCCAACACUCACGCCGUCACGCAGCCAACUAUUUCCCACACCACCCUGUGCCCUUCUCACAUCAGAAAACCGUCACCCAACAUCCACAUUGCCGCCACAAGGGAACGCCAUCGCCGUCGCCAGAACCGACAAUAAGAGGAGUAAACGCAGAAAAGAUUCAACACGGUUUCCUCUUGGGAUAGUAGGAUUGGAAUCAACCCCUACAUAGGAAGAAGGCUUAGUUUGAGUGGAGUCAAAACGUUGUUGAUUAGGAAAGGCUAAGAAAUCAGCUCCCCAGGCGAAGUUGUGGCACGGAGAUGACGAGUAGGAUGCCAAAGUCAGUCAUGGGGCGAUUCAAGAAUUUUUAUGUUUUUGUAGUCUCAUUUGUUGGAGAGACGUUUCCGCACUUUUGUCAUUAAUUUAAACUAUGUUGUGGAUGCCUAGUUUAUGGGAACUAGGCAGUCACACCAAAUUUCCUAUUGAUUUUAA